CUUCCGGGCACUAUGGUAAGACGUGAAAAAACACCCGAUCCCAUUCCGACCUCGAAAUGUGAAAUCGUCUUACGCUAUAUGUACUGAUUUAUAAAUUUCGGGAGACAUGGUCCAAGCCCGGACA
rnacentral:rRNA from 1 species